GCCGGCCCCGUGNGUACAGCGUUCCGGGGAUGAAGGGUCUUACAGGGUCCGUAGGCGGCUUANUUUUAAGUCAGGGUGAAAUCCUCCUAGCUCAACUGGGAAACUGCCUUUGAUACUGUAGCGACUUGAAUGUUUGUAGANGUAAGCUAGAAUAUGUAGUGUAGCGGUGAAAUGCUUAGAUAUCACAUGGAAUACCAGAUUGCGAAGGCAGGUAUCACUANCCGUAUGAUUGACGCUGAUGGACGAAAGCGUGGGGAGCGAACAGGAUUAGAUACCCUGGUAGUCCACGCCGUAAACCAGAUGGAUACUAGCUGUUCGAUCGUCAGAUGGAGUAGAGCUACAGCGAAUGUGAUAAGUAUCCCACCUGGCGGAGUACUCACCGCCAGCUGUGAUACUCAUCGNGANUUAGCACGGGGGACCCGCCACAAGCGGUCGGAGAAUGUGGUNUAAUNCGUAUGAUACGCGAGGAACCUUNCCUCNAGAGUCUUAAUGGCGAA
rnacentral:rRNA from 1 species